UAACUUGGAUACCUCAGGCCUCAGGAGGAUGAUUUACUAUGGGAGAAUAUUUCUCUGCACAGGACUGAUAAGUUAGUUUGCAAUACUGGUUUCUUCUUUUAGAUCUUGUUUGAGUUUGAUAGAACAAUUUCUAUACUGACAUGCAACAAUCCUUGGUUGGCUUUGGCUACAAUUGGACAAGUAUCGAAGCUUUGUUUAAUGACAAGACUAGCAGAUAGUAUCGGAGAAGGUGAACAAGUUUGUAAAUUGUCAAAAAAUAAACAUUUGAGAUUUCAAAUGUGUAUCAUAAUUAUUUUAGUAGAGGUUACUCCUGGUGAAACUUGAUCAGCAAUGCCAAGCAUUAGAGCUCCAUCAUCAAAAAGGACUACAAGUUUAUUGGUGGCAGUAAAAUGUAGGCCAUUGACUGAAGUAGAACAAAAGCAGUGCAUGCAUAUUAUUCAAGUUAUGG